CAAUCCAUGUACGUCGCUAUUUUUCGCUUCUUUUUUUGCUUUAGCGUCUGAUUUCAGGAGGCUUGCGCAUAAGAAAAGAAACGAAAAGUAGCGCCUAAGCCUCCCUUGUGGAGGCUUUUCUUUU
rfam:Serratia symbiotica str. Tucson genomic scaffold scaffold00202, whole genome shotgun sequence.